UGAGUAGGCGGUCAUGCAAGUCAUAUGUGAAAUGUCAGGGCUUAACCUUGGCGCUGCAUAAGAAACUGUAUGACUAGAGUGCAGGAGAGGUAAGCGGAAUUCCUAGUGUAGCGGUGAAAUGCGUAGAUAUUAGGAAGAACACCGGUGGCGAAGGCGGCUUACUGGACUGUUACUGACGCUGAGUACACGAAAGGGCGUGGGAGCAAACA
rnacentral:rRNA from 1 species